GCCUGCAGUCCCAGCUACUCAGGAGGCUGGGGUGGGAGGAUUGCUCAAGUCCAGGAGUUCUGGGCUAUGCCAAUCAGGGGUCCCCAUUGAGUUCCGCAUCAAUAUGGUAACCUUCUGGGAGCAGGGACCACCAGAUUGCCUAAGGAGAGGAUACAACCUGACCUGCCCCAGUCUGAAAUGGAACAGGUCAGAACUCCGGGGCUGAUCAGUAGAGGGAUCAAGCCUGGGAAUAGCCACUGCAAUAUAGUCUGGAUAACACAGUGAGACCCGCCCUU
rnacentral:SRP_RNA from 1 species